GGCUCAGAGCGAACGCUAGCGGCGGGCCUAACACAUGCAAGUCGAGCGGGAGGGCAACCUCCAGCGGCGAACGGGUGAGUAACGCGUAGGUUACGUGCCUUCUGGUGGGGAAUAACCGUGGGAAACCAUGGCUAAUACCGCAUAUCGUCCUUCGGGAUGAAAGCCUUCGGGCGCCAGAAGAGCGGCCUGCGUCCCAUUAUUUAGUCCUAGUUGGUGAGGUAACGGCUCACCAAGGGUACGAUGGGUAGCUGGUCUGAGAGGAUGAUCAGCCACAUUGGGACUGAGACACGGCCCAAACUCCUACGGGAGGCAGCAGUGGGGAAUAUUGCGCAAUGGGCGAAAGCCUGACGCAGCCACGCCGCGUGAGUGAUGAAGGCCUUCGGGUUGUAAAGCUCUGUCGGGAGGGAAGACGGGAGAAAUCCCUGACGGUACCUCGCAAGAAAGCACCGGCUAACUCUGUGCCAGCAGCCGCGGUAAUACAGAGGGUGCAAGCGUUGCUCGGAUUUACUGGGCGUAAAGCGUACGCAGACGGCUACGCAGGUCGGGUGUGAAAGCCCCGGGCUCAACCCGGGAAUUGCAUUCGAAACCAUGUGGCUUGAGGAUGGGAGAGGAGAGCGGAAUUCCCGGUGUAGAGGUGAAAUUCGUAGAUAUCGGGAGGAACACCAGUGGCGAAAGCGGCUCUCUGGCCCAUUUCUGACGUUCAGGUACGAAAGCGUGGGGAGCAAACAGGAUUAGAUACCCUGGUAGUCCACGCCGUAAACGAUGCAUGCUGGCUGUCGGAGGUAUUAACCCCUUCGGUAGCGAAGCCAACGCGUUAAGCAUGCCGCCUGGGGAGUACGGCCGCAAGGUUGAAACUCAAAG
rnacentral:rRNA from 1 species